rnacentral:rRNA from 1 species
CGGGUGAGUAAUGCCUGGGAAAUUGCCCUGAUGUGGGGGAUAACCAUUGGAAACGAUGGCUAAUACCGCAUAAUGCCUUCGGGCCAAAGAGGGGGACCUUCGGGCCUCUCGCGUCAGGAUAUGCCCAGGUGGGAUUAGCUAGUUGGUGAGGUAAUGGCUCACCAAGGCGACGAUCCCUAGCUGGUCUGAGAGGAUGAUCAGCCACACUGGAACUGAGACACGGUCCAGACUCCUACGGGAGGCAGCAGUGGGGAAUAUUGCACAAUGGGCGCAAGCCUGAUGCAGCCAUGCCGCGUGUAUGAAGAAGGCCUUCGGGUUGUAAAGUACUUUCAGUCGUGAGGAAGGUUCAUGCGUUAAUAGCGUAUGGAUUUGACGUUAGCGACAGAAGAAGCACCGGCUAACUCCGUGCCAGCAGCCGCGGUAAUACGGAGGGUGCGAGCGUUAAUCGGAAUUACUGGGCGUAAAGCGCAUGCAGGUGGUUCGUUAAGUCAGAUGUGAAA